rnacentral:rRNA from 1 species
GACGAACGCUGGCGGCGCGCCUAACACAUGCAAGUCGAACGAGCGAGAGAGAGUUUACUUUUUCGAGCGAGUGGCGAACGGGUGAGUAACGCGUGAGGAACCUGCCUCAAAGAGGGGGACAACAGUUGGAAACGACUGCUAAUACCGCAUAAGCCCGCGACCCGGCAUCGGGUAGAGGGAAAAGGAGCAAUCCGCUUUGAGAUGGCCUCGCGUCCGAUUAGCUAGUUGGUGAGGUAACGGCCCACCAAGGCGACGAUCGGUAGCCGGACUGAGAGGUUGAACGGCCACAUUGGGACUGAGACACGGCCCAGACUCCUACGGGAGGCAGCAGUGGGGAAUAUUGCACAAUGGGGGAAACCCUGAUGCAGCGACGCCGCGUGGAGGAAGAAGGUCUUCGGAUUGUAAACUCCUGUUGUUGAGGAAGAUAAUGACGGUACUCAACAAGGAAGUGACGGCUAACUACGUG